rnacentral:lncRNA from 1 species
UCCUUCUAUUUCUAUCCUUUUAUAUAUUUUUUUUUUUUAAACUGUGAAGAUCUCAACUUUUUUUUCUUCUUUUUUUUUUUUUUUCUUUUGCCUUUUUGGUGUGGGGGGGGGGCUUUUUUCCCACUUUUUUUUUUUUUUCUCCUUUUUUUUUUAUUGCUAUUCUUUUUCUCCUGACUGCCUUGAUGCAGUAGGAGCAGGACACUGGUUUGCAAGGAACUUUGCUCCCUUCCCAACCUGCCUCCUCCCAGCCCUUUGGGGAGAGUGUGCGUGUGCGUGUGAGUGAGUGCGUGAAGUCUCCGGCCCCCCCCCCCAACCCCCUUUUUGCUCCCCCCGCAACCUGUGGGCUGCAGCCCCCCGUGCAGCCCCCGCACGCUUCUCUCCCUUUCCCCCCCUCCCCUCCCUUUCCCUCCCCCCUCUCUUUUUUGCGGUGAGAAGCCCCCCUUUUCGAGGCGAGGAAAAAAAAAAAGAAAGAA